UGGGGAAUAUUGGACAAUGGGGGGAACCCUGAUCCAGCCAUGCCGCGUGUGUGAAGAAGGCCUUAUGGUUUUAAAGCACUUUAUGCGAGGAGGAGGGUACUGGUAUUAAUACUACCAGGUACUGGACGUUACUCGCAGAAUAAGCACCGGCUAACUCUGUGCCAGCAGCCGCGGUAAUACAGAGGGUGCAAGCGUUAAUCGGAUUUACUGGGCGUAAAGCGUGCGUAGGCGGCUAAUUGAGUCGGAUGUGAAAUCCCCGAGCUUAACUUGGGAAUUGCAUUCGAUACUGGUUAGCUAGAGUAGGGCAGAGGGUGGUGGAAUUUCCUGUGUAGCGGUGAAAUGCGUAGAUAUAGGAAGGAACACCAGUGGCGAAGGCGACCACCUGGGCUCAUACUGACACUGAGGUGCGAAAGCGUGGGGAGCAAACAGG
rnacentral:rRNA from 1 species